rnacentral:rRNA from 1 species
GAUCCUGGCUCAGGAUGAACGCUAGCGGCAGGCUUAACACAUGCAAGUCGAGGGGCAGCAUAAUGGAUAGCAAUAUCUAUGGUGGCGACCGGCGCACGGGNGCGUAACGCGUAUGCAACCUACCUUUAACAGGGGGAUAACACUGAGAAAUUGGUACUAAUACCCCAUAAUAUCAUAGAAGGCAUCUUUUAUGGUUGAAAAUUCCGAUGGUUAGAGAUGGGCAUGCGUUGUAUUAG